rnacentral:rRNA from 1 species
GCGACCCCAGGUCAGGCGGGGCUACCCGCUGAGUUUAAGCAUAUCAAUAAGCGGAGGAAAAGAAACUACAAGG